rnacentral:rRNA from 1 species
AAGACAUGCGAGUCGAACGAAAAUUUACGCUUAAAGAGUUGAUUAGUUUACUAAGAGAUGAUUUAUUGUAAAUUUUAGUGGCGGACUGGUGAGUAAUACAUAGGUAAUCUGCCUUUUAGAGGGGAAUAACUAGGAGAAAUCCUAGCUAAUACCGCGUAAGACCACACUUAGGCAUCUAAGAGAGGUCAAAGGAGUAAUCCGCUAAAAGAUGAGCCUGUGGCUGAUUAGUUAGUUGGUGGGGUAAGAGCCUACCAAGACGAUGAUCAGUAGCCGAGCUGAGAGGCUGGCCGGCCACAUUGGGACUGAGAUACGGCCCAGACUCCUACGGGAGGCAGCAGUUGGGAAUAUUGGACAAUGGAGGAAACUCUGAUCCAGUGACGCCGCGUGAAGGAAGAAGGUCUUCGGAUUGUAAACUUAUUUUAUCAGGGAAGAAGAAAGUGACAGUACCUGAAGAAAAAGGACCGGCAAAAUACGUGCCAGCAGCCGCGGUAAUACGUAGGGUCCAAGCGUUAUCCGGAUUUACUGGGUGUAAAGGGCGAGUAGACGGCGCUGUAAGUCAGCUGUGAAAACUUAGGGCUCAACCUUAAGCCUGCAGCUGAAACUGUAGUGCUAGAGUGCAGGAGAGGUAAGCGGAAUUCCUAGUGUAGCGGUGAAAUGCGUAGAUAUUAGGAGGAACACCAGUGGCGAAGGCGGCUUACUGGACUGUAACUGACGUUGAGGCGCGAAAGUGUGGGGAGCAAACAGGAUUAGAUACCCUGGUAGUCCACACCGUAAAUGAUGGAUACUAGGUGUAGGCGAGAUAUCGUCUGUGCCGGCGCAAACGCAAUAAGUAUCCC